CUAGGUUGGGCUGCGCGCUUGCUGCAAACCGCAUUUAGGGAUUUUCUGUAUCUGUUUUGCAGCGGCAAACUAAUUUUCAAGAACCAAAAUUUGCUUGGUGGGUCUUAGAGGUUUCACGCCCUGAAAGACUAAGAGGAUUCUUGGUGGAACUUAACUUGUGAUACCUUUAACUGUGUGAGUGUUGUCCCUGUCCAGUUAUACCUGAUUGAAUAUCGAGGUAUUGACAUCUGCUAGCAUUCUUUCAAUAUCUAGAGAUCACUGCAUUUCACCAAUUGAGUCAAUGCAAGAAUUUGCUGGAAUGGAUGAUAGGUUCAGUGCUCUUAGCCAACAGUUAGCUUUUCACAUUCUUAGUUUCCUCAACAUAGAAGACCUUGGUCAACUAAUGCUUGUGUCCAGAAGGUGCAAGUCAUUAUGUGUUUCCGUCCCCUGUUUGACUGUUGAUAAUCGGAAUUAUACGCAUAAUUUGAUUUCUAGGCAGCGUUUCAACCAAUUUGUGGACAAGUUUUUUGUUCUACGCUCAAACUCUGGAACUAAGACACCACACUUUACUUUGGUUUGGUCUUUCCAAGGGAGCCGUUGUGAUCAGAAGAAGAAGAGAAAAAAAAUAGGCAAUUCUGCUGAUACUGAAGAAAGUCUAGUUGCUAAAUGGCUAUCAAAAGUGUCUUUACGUGGUGUUGAAAGGCUUUCUAUUAGCUUGGUGCCUCAAGAGGGCAGCCCUAAUUACUUUCCGCGUUUUGUCCUCUGUUCUAAAUCUCUCAAGGACCUUAAAUUCUGUUCCAACAAUUGUGUUCUGAAAUUUACUCGAUCCUUUUCCUUACGCUUCCCCUCAGGGCUUGAAAGCUUGACAUUGCAAUAUGCUCGAAUCCCUGAUAAGUUCUUCAGUGAUGCAAUUUCAGAGCUAUAUUCCCUCAAGUCCUUGUAUCUAUAUGAGUGUGUUGGUCUGAAGGGCAUCUAUAUACAAAGUGCAUCACUCAAGCAGUUGAAAAUCAUAAAUGAGAAACCUGUUGAACUCUGCCACCUUGAUGUCAUAGCGUCGGAGCUUGAAAAAAUCUUUGUGACAUGGUAUCCAGCUGAUUUUAGCAGGACUUCAUUUCAGAUUACUUGUUCUGGCCUCCAAGAUUUUGUGUGGUAUGGCUAUCCCGUGAAUUUUUAUCACUCUGAGGGAAAUUGGAGCGAUCUACAAUGUGCUGCACUUUAUCUGACACUUCCACCUGGAUCAGAAGUUGGAUCUUUUUCCAGACAUGAUGUUCAAUAUGUUCUGCCCAGGUUAGAGAGAUCAGCCAAAUUCUUACGACUGCAUGCCAAAACAAUUGAGAUUUUGUUUAAGCUUGGUCACUUGACGACUCAAUUAGAUGCAGUGAGGAACUUGGCUAUAGAUUAUUGUUUUUUAAGCGAUGACCAAGUACCGAUAAUUGCCUCCUUUCUGAAAACAAUAUCUUGUUUGGAAACUUUCUAUUUGACGUCAUCUCCAACUGUUGUUCAGAGCUGCUUCAAGGAUGGAAAAUUGAAAGCAGCAAUGUCUCCUGAAGGUUUUGGGUUCAGUGUGGAAUAUUGGGAGACCCAAGAACUGAGGUUCAUAGAUGAAUUGAAGAAAGCAACCGUCGAGGUUCACAGAGAAGAGGGGAAUGAUAUGGAGCUGGUUAAGUAUCUGCUGAAGCAUGCAAGAGGCCUGGAAUACCUGACCAUUGUAUGUGCACCCUCUUUGGCAUCAAGUAUUCCGGGACGUCUAAGUUCAUAUACGAAGGUCUCCACCAAGUUCAACUUCUGCUUAAGGCCUCAAACUGAUGCUUGUAAUUAGUUGGGGGUCGAGUGCUCAUGAGCAUAUGCAUUGCCUCCUUCAUUUAGGGGUUGGAUGUUGAUGGAUACAAUUAAAAACUUUUUUAUGCAUGGCUUGCUAGAAAUUAAUAGUUCAUUUGGGGUUCGAUCCUGACCUGCAGGGUUCUCACUGUACGGAAGGUACUUUUUAUGAUUUUACCUCUAACGCAAUUUCGAAUUCAUGAAUAUCCUGCAAUCGACCUCCCAAAUUCCUAAAUUAACCCUAACCGUAAAAUCUCAGCGGUGUCUUGACCCAAGCCAACAACCCUAAAAAAAACCCGCAAAACCGAAACUUUUCCUGUUGAAAAAAAAGCCCAGUUCAUCUCUGCCCCAGUAAUCAACGAUUCAAAAAAGGUUAUUUAUCUGCGAAAUUAACAGAGAAAAAGAAGAGGAAGCUAAACGGUUUCGAAGAGAGACCAAAUUCUGAGAAACGUCAUCGUAUUGAUUCCCCGAAGAAGGAACCAAAAGAAGUUGAAGAAGGUGAAAGUUCGGUUAAUGCAAUCACUUUAAUGAUCUCUUAGAAGAGUAGAAGGCUCUU